rnacentral:piRNA from 1 species
UGUUAGAUGCUCUAUGAAAGCAACGAAGC